rnacentral:rRNA from 1 species
CUUAAGAAAUUGGCGGAGGGGCGCACAAGCGGUGGAGCAUGUGGUUUAAUUUGAUGCAACGCGAAGAACCUUACCUACUCUUGACAUCCAGAGAACUUUCCAGAGAUGGAUUGGUGCCUUCGGGAACUCUGAGACAGGUGCUGCAUGGCUGUCGUCAGCUCGUGUUGUGAAAUGUUGGGUUAAGUCCCGCAACGAGCGCAACCCUUAUCCUUUGUUGCCAGCGGUUCGGCCGGGAACUCAAAGGAGACUGCCAGUGAUAAACUGGAGGAAGGUGGGGAUGACGUCAAGUCAUCAUGGCCCUUACGAGUAGGGCUACACACGUGCUACAAUGGCGUAUACAAAGAGAAGCGACCUCGCGAGAGCAAGCGGACCUCAUAAAGUACGUCGUAGUCCGGAUUGGAGUCUGCAACUCGACUCCAUGAAGUCGGAAUCGCUAGUAAUCGUAGAUCAGAAUGCUACGGUGAAUACGUUCCCGCCUCUUGCACACACCGCCCG